GAACGCUAGCGACAGGCUUAACACAUGCAAGGUCGAGGGGCAGCACGGGAGUAGCAAUACUUGGUGGCGACCGGCGCACGGGUGAGUAACGCGUAUGCAACCUACCUAUCGAGAGGGGAAUAACCCGGCGAAAGUCGGACUAAUACCGCAUAAAACAGGGGCACCGCAUGGUGAUAUUUGUUAAAGAAAUUCGCUGAUAGAUAGGCAUGGCGUUCCAUUAGGUAGUUGGUGAGGUAACGGCUCACCAAGCCGACGAUGGAUAGGGGAACUGAGAGGUUGGUCCCCCACCACUGGUACUGAGACACGGACCAGACUCCUACGGGAGGCAGCAGUGAGGAAUAUUGGUCAAUGGGCGGGAGCCUGAACCAGCCAAGUCGCGUGAAAGGAAGAAGGAUCUAUGGUUCGUAAACUUCUUUUGCAGGGGAAUAAAGUGCAGGACGUGUCCUGUUUUGUAUGUACCCUGAGAAUAAGGAUCGGCUAACUCCGUGCCAGCCGCAGC
rnacentral:rRNA from 1 species